UACGGAGGGGCUAGCGUUGUUCGGAAUACUGGGCGUAAAGCGCGCGUAGGCGGACCUGCAAGUCGGGGGUGAAAGCCCGAGGCUCAACCCUCGGAACUGCCUUCGAUACUGCGGGUCUCGAGUCCGGGAGAGGUGAGUGGAAUUCCUAGUGUAGAGGUGAAAUUCGUAGAUAUUAGGAAGAACACCAGUGGCGAAGGCGGCUCACUGGACUGGUAUUGACGCUGAGGUGCGAAAGCGUGGGGAGCAAACAGG
rnacentral:rRNA from 1 species